AUGGAGGAGCCAGGGCGCGACCCGGCCGGAGCUCGGGGAGCCCGCGCCAUGGCCUCGCCCGAGGCCGUGAGCUUCUACUGCCACACCUGCAGCUCCCGGUUGGAGCUCCCCUCCCCGUCCUCCCCCUUCCACUUCACCCUCUGCCCACGUUGCCGCCGGGACUACCUCGACGACUCCCCCGAGCCCCACCACGCGCCGCUGUCACCGCCGCCGCCGCCGCCGCCUCCACCACCCCUGUGCGCCGUACCCUGGCCGCCGGACCCGUUCACCUCUUCCACGCCACCGCCGCCUCCGACGAUCCCACGCGUCUCGUCGCCGUCCUCUUCUUUCACGACGGUGCGGCCGCGGACUCUGGUGUCCCCGCGCACAGGGCCCUUGUCUUCCUCCGCAAGGCCGCCUUCGACGUCGACCGCUCCCGUGUCGUCCUCCUACUGCCCCGAGCGCUCAGCGGCAUGUCGCGAAUUCCGGCUCCUUUGCGAGCAGCGCCGGUCCUCGCCCGCCGUCUCUCCCCUGUCGUCCCCGUACUCCACCGCCUGCUCCUCCCCUCUGUUGGCGUCGCCGCCUCCCCCGCCCCCGCCACCGUUCCACCGCGGCGAGCUGCUAUCCGAGUCGUUUCCUUUGACCUUGCGCUCGUCCACCGCCGAGGAGGCCAUGUCACCGCCUCAUGAUCUGCUUCCUCCCCCGCCCCCGCCGCUGUUCCACCGCGGCGAGUUACUAUCCGAGUCCUUUCCUUUGACCUUGCGCUCCUCCACCGCUGAGGAGACCACGUCACCGCCUCAUGAUCUGCUUCCUCCUCCGCCUCCGCCUUGGCUGCCGCUGGCGUCCGGUGGGACAUGGGAUGAAUUCCUCUUCAAUCCGUCCGACUCCGAUGACGACAGCCCGCCACAGCCUCCUCCGCCGCCGGAUGUAUCUACCUACCACGCCAUGUUCGACAUGCCGCUCCAAGUCCAAAGCGGUGUGUCACAAGCGGCGGCGGCGUCUAUUGCCGCCAACAACACGGUGUUCGAGUUCGACACGCCGCUUCAACGCGGCGGGUCACAAGCGGCGCCGCCGGAGUCCAUCGCCGCCCUGCCCACCGUCACCGUCACGGACGCCGGGCUGGACUGCGUCGUCUGCACCGACCCCCUCCCGCCCUCGGCGCCCGCGCGCCGGCUCCCCUGCGGCCACCUGUACCACUCCCACUGCAUCGUCACGUGGCUGUCCGAGCACAACUCCUGCCCAAUCUGCCGCCGCAGCAUCCUGACGAUCGUCUCCGCCACAAGCGACAUGGCGUCGUCGUCGGAGUCCCCCGCCGGGAGGCGAAGGCGAUCUCUGCCGGUGCCAGGGGGGCGCCGGAUCAGAAGGAUCUGCAGCAGGCUGCUUCGAAACAUGGAAAUCGGCCGCGAUCGUCAGACAAGCAGCAGCCGCGACCGCCAGACAAGCAGCGGCGGCGGCGAUGUGCAUGUCUGA
rnacentral:rRNA from 1 species